GUCAUUUUGAAAUGAAAUAAGUUGUGCUUAAGAAGUUUUGAGAAAUUUGGGUGUAACAUUCUUUAUAUUGUGAAAGUCUUCCACAAGGGUCAGUGAUCACUGUGUAGACCUUCCAUGGUCAUUUCCUGUGUUUUGUUGUCCCGUAUCAUCGACCCAUACUUGGCUAGGUCUUCACCUGCUCGUUGUAUGAUGGAGAAUGCUAACUCACCUGAAAGGACUUGGGGCAAGACUAGAAGUAUCUCCAUGGAAGAAGAGUUUACGUCGAAGAGAGGAAGUGCUAAGCAUCUCCUGGUUCCCGUUUUCACUCUCCCCUGUCAUGUAUGCACCAAGUAUCGCUCCCAGGUCAAAGUUCACAGAAAAAACAUUGACACAAAUCUGGGACCUACCAUCCACUGUGCCCUGUUUGGGGGGAAGAGAUUUCUGUAUGGACCCCUGUAGAUCCUGCAUCAUUUCCUCAUGAACAGGACCUGAAAUAUCAGCACAGUGUUGCGGGCAGGACAGGUUUCUUGCGGGGUUUCUUCGGGUCACUCCAGGGGGAGGGGACAACCAGGUUGUUAGCAAAGAAUUGCUCUAUGGCUCGCUGAGCACGCUCCUCAGUCUCUCUGUCAAGGCUACAACAGAAACAUCUUUAACCUGAGUUUACCCAAGGAUCAGCAGGGGGUCCUACGACUCAUGCUUGAUUAAUAGGGGUAAGCAGGAGUCGAGGUGACCGAGAAGAACCCAGGACUCAUAUAGGCAGGCAGAUGUAGGUCAUCGACCCCAGGGUCAAAGGGGUUAACUAGGUUUUUGGGAGUGGCAUAUUUCCGAGGAGCCACCGGAGGACGC